UUAAGUUCAGCGGGUAAUCCUACCUGAUUUGAGGUCAAACUUUCAAUAAGUUGUCCAUGAAAGGACUAUUAGAAGCUGAACAGACAGAGAGCAUUCCAUAGUCUUUGGCGUAGAUAAUUAUCACACCAGUGACGGAUCGCAAACCGUUCCGCUAAUGCAUUUCAGGGGAGCUGAUCCAAUGAAUAGGACCUGCAUAUACC
rnacentral:misc_RNA from 1 species